rnacentral:rRNA from 1 species
UAAGGAAUAUUGGUCAAUGGGGGCAACCCUGAACCAGCCAUGCCGCGUGCAGGAAGACGGCCCUACGGGUUGUAAACUGCUUUUAUACGGGAAUAAACCCCUUUACGUGUAAAGGGUUGAAUGUACUGUAAGAAUAAGGAUCGGCUAACUCCGUGCCAGCAGCCGCGGUAAUACGGAGGAUCCAAGCGUUAUCCGGAUUUAUUGGGUUUAAAGGGUGCGUAGGCGGCCUAUUAAGUCAGGGGUGAAAGACGGUGGCUCAACCAUCGCAGUGCCUUUGAUACUGAUAGGCUUGAUUACACUUGAGGUAGGCGGAAUGUGACAAGUAGCGGUGAAAUGCAUAGAUAUGUCACAGAACACCAAUUGCGAAGGCAGCUUACUAAGGUGUUAAUGACGCUGAGGCACGAAAGCGUGGGGAUCAAACA